rfam:Triticum aestivum genome assembly, contig: Triticum_aestivum_CS42_TGACv1_scaffold_093081_2AL
UUUGUACUCUUUUCGUCCCAAAAUUCUUGACUUAGAUUCGUCUAGAUAUGGAUGUAUCUAAUACUAAAAUAUAAUUUGGUACAUCCGUAUUUAGACAAAUCGAAGACAAUUUUUUUGGGACGGAGGGAGUAGAUA